rnacentral:rRNA from 1 species
AAGCUAACGCUUGAAUACAUUAGCAUGGAAUAAUGAAAUAGGACGUUUGACCCUACUUUGUUGGUUUCUUAGGAUCGACGUAAUGAUUAAUAGGGAUAGUUUGGGGGCGAUUAGUAUUCAAUUGUCAGAGGUGAAAUUCUUGGAUUUAUUGAAGACUAACUACUGCGAAAGCAUUUGCCAAGGAUGUUUUCAUUAAUCAAGAACGAAAGUUAGGGGAUCGAAGACGAUCAGAUACCGUCGUAGUCUUAACCAUAAACUAUGCCGACUAGGGAUCGGAUGAUGUUAAUUUUAUAAUGACUCAUUCGGCGCCUUACG